CCUACGGGUGGCAGCAGUGAGGAAUAUUGGUCAAUGGACGAGAGUCUGAACCAGCCAAGUAGCGUGAAGGAUGACUGCCCUAUGGGUUGUAAACUUCUUUUAUAUGGGAAUAAAAUGUUCCACGUGUGGGAUUUUGUAUGUACCAUAUGAAUAAGGAUCGGCUAACUCCGUGCCAGCAGCCGCGGUAAUACGGAGAAUCCGAGCGUUAUCCGGAUUUAUUGGGUUUAAGGGGAGCGUAGGUGGAUUGUUAAGUCAGUUGUGAAAGUUUGCGGCUCAACCGUAAAAUUGCAGUUGAAACUGGCAGUCUUGAGUACAGUAGAGGUGGGCGGAAUUCGUGGUGUAGCGGUGAAAUGCUUAGAUAUCACGAAGAACUCCGAUUGCGAAGGCAGUUCACUGGACUGCAACUGACACUGAGGCUCGAAAGUGUGGGUAUCAAACAGGAUUAGAUACCCCUGUAGUC
rnacentral:rRNA from 1 species